UGGGGAAUCUUACACAAUGGGGGCAACCCUGAUGCAGCGACGCCGCGUGAGCGAUGAAGCCCUUCGGGGCGUAAAGCUCUUUCGACCGGAACGAUAAUGACGGUACCGGGAGAAGAAGCUGCGGCUAACUACGUGCCAGCAGCCGCGGUAAUACGUAGGCAGCAAGCGUUGUUCGGCGUUACUGGGCGUAAAGAGUGCGUAGGCGGUUUUCUAAGUUCGGUGUGAAAUCUCCCGGCUUAACUGGGAGGGUGCGCCGAAGACUGGGAAGCUGGAGUGUGGGAAAGGCAGGCGGAAUUCCUGGUGUAGCGGUGAAAUGCGUAGAUAUCAGGAGGAACACCGGCGGUGUAGACGGCUUGCUAGACCAUAACUGACGCUGAGGCACGAAAGCGUGGGUAGCAAACA
rnacentral:rRNA from 1 species